rnacentral:rRNA from 1 species
AGCUCCAAUAGCGUAUAUUAAAGUUGUUGCAGUUAAAAAGCUCGUAGUUGGAUUUCUGGGAGCGUGCCAAUGUCCGCCUUGUGCGAGCGCAGCGGCGCGCUUCCAUCCUUCUGUUAACGCCUCUCGGCAUUCACUUGCUGGUGGCGGGCUCAGAUAUUUUACCUUGAGAAAAUUAGAGUGUUUCAGGCAGGCUAGGCCGGAAUACAUUAGCAUGGAAUAAUGGAAUAGGACUACGGUCUCUUUGUUGGUUUGAGGGACUGCAGUAAUGAUUAAUAGGGAUAGUUGGGGGCAUUAGUAUUUAAUUGUCAGAGGUGGAAUUCUCAGAUUUGUUAAAGACUAACUUAUGCGAAAGCAUUUGCCAAGGAUGUUUUCA